AUUGAACGCUGGCGGCGGGCCUAACACAUGCAAGUCGAACGAGUGGCGGACGGGUGAGUAAUGUCUGGGAAACUGCCCGAUGGAGGGGGAUAACUACUGGAAACGGUAGCUAAUACCGCAUACCAUCGGAUGUGCCCAGAUGGGAUUAGCUAGUAGGUGGGGUAAUGGCUCACCUAGGCGACGAUCCCUAGCUGGUCUGAGAGGAUGACCAGCCACACUGGAACUGAGACACGGUCCAGACGCCGACGGGCGGCAGCCGGGGGGAAUAUUGCACCAUGGGCGGAAACCAUAGGCAGCCAUGCCGCGUGUAGGAAGAAGGCCUUCGGUGUGUAAAGUACUUUCAGCGAGGAGGCGUUACUAGCAGAAGAAGCACCGGCUAACUACGUGCCAGCAGCCGCGGUAAUUC
rnacentral:rRNA from 1 species